UCUCUGUUUGGGGGAGUGGCUUAGGAGGGAGGCCUGAAGGGGGGGUUAUAUUUUCCACCUGGUUGGAUGGAUAAAUCUCAGUCUCUUCCUGGUUACCUGCCGCAGCUGUGACACUGUGUCAGUGUUCAUGUGUUCAUGUUUCAGCAACAUGUUCUUUAAACUCUGUUGCUAACUGGGGGGGGGCAGACAGAAACAACAGAGGGCUGUCAGGUGUUGGUGAGAGAGGUGGAGCUCCAUAGAGAAUGAACAGAGAGAGAGAGAGGGAGUGGUGGCAGGUAGAACAGGUUUUGGGCGAGGCGGUCGAGCGAGCUUCACAAACACAGUGAUAAGGAGAGAGAGAGGGCGAAGUAGUUAAAGAUCAGAGAUUUCCUUCAGUCGGUCAUCAAAACAGUUUCCACCAGCAGAGGAGAAGAAACAGGCCACAGCAGCAGAGGACAAGAAGAAGACGAAGAAACUGGUCAAAACAGCAGAGGACGUUGUGUUUUUCUUCAGGAGGAAGACGAGGAGCCUUCGGUGCCGUGAACAGAGCUCUCUCGCCCUGACUGCCUCGAGUCUUUUGAUUGGACGGCUGCCUGAUUGACUGAUUGAUGGUCUUUAGCUCCGCCCUCCCGUGACGCACCGCCAUGUCAUCAAACAUCAAAGUCUCCCUUGACAACCCUUACGGUGAGGUGACCAUCCCACGGGCUAAGCUCCGCCCCUCCGAUGACGUCUCCACGGUGAUAGCCAAUCCGGUGGCUCUGAGCAGUGACAACCCGUACGGCACGUCAAGCUCCGCCCCACCGCCGCCAUAUAUGGUAAAGGACGCUAGAGAGGGGGAGGAGGAGGAGGAGGGGAGGUGCCGCGUCUGCUGCUACCGCUGCAGGAGAAGGAAGUGAUGUCACAGCAGGAGGCGGAUUGUGAUUGGCUCAGAUUUAUUUAUUUCCUGUUUCACUGAGGAGGCAGAGGCCAUUUUACGUGUCAAACCAGCCCAAUAUUUAAAUCUGUGGACAAGGUCAAAGUUCGUCGGAGUGAAGAAGGCCAUGGAUCCAGCCGAGAGCUCAGGAGCAGUUUAAUAUAUCAAUCACCGUUUCAUCAUCACGGUAACGAGCUGAGAACAACAGGAUCAAUCAUCUUAAUGUAUUUUAAUUAAUAAUAGUAUCAAUAAGAAUUAUUCAUAUUUAACGUAUCAGUACAUGAUGGACAUUAGUGGCGUUGGCGUUUGGAUUUAGAAGAAUCCGAAAAUGAGGAAACUUUAUUUUGUCGUCUUGAUCUGAUUCUUAGAUUUUAUCCACGUUUUCCUUCCUCGGAGGAAGUGAUGUGAUGAUUUCAGGAAGUGUUGGAACGUUUCCGUGAAGUAUUUAUAUUUUUGAACAGCUAAUUUGAACAUUUUAGCCUGACGGAGUUUAAUCAGAAUGAUAUCUGGAUAAAAUGGAGGAUAGAAACGUUCAACUGUUCAUUUGCUGUAAAAGUUUUUCUGUUUCUGCUGAAAUAAAGUGACUUGUGAUCAUCUCUU